ACAGCCGCCACAGCUGCUCAAAACCCACCUUUCUUCUUAUACGAAAUGCCACUGCCAGAGAACCAUACUAAAAGAGCCAUCAAAAUGACCUUCAUUACCAUUAUACUCAUCUCUAUCAAAUAGAACCAAACAAGCCUGACAUCAGUAGGCUCCGAUCUCGUAAGACAAGAUCCAAAACCGCUACAACCUGACAAGCUCCAAAGCUCCAGCAAGUCAGAAACCCCACCCCUGUUUCUCCAUUUUUUUUCACACCCCAUUACUAGUGAACUUCUUUCUCCAAUGAACUGGAGCGGAUAACAACCACCUCCAAAACCUCAGAAAACAAUCAUCCCAAGACCCUUGCUCCCUGUUCUGUUUCUCUGACAAACCAACAACCAAAAUGACAUUCCAAUCUCUAAUAAAACCCUGAGUGAACACUAGAUCUAUGCAAUAAAAGGAGUUCUCUUAGAUGAGAACAACCAGAAGCUACGUCAAUGCGGCACCAUUCUUAACAAACAAGAAAAAGCAGCACGCUCUGAGUUCAGAUGAACAACCAUAACACUACUGUCUCCAUUCUUCCCCUCCGGAAAGUUGAUUUGGAUUGUUAUCAAGUUUACUCACUUCAAAGAUCAAAGCAAGGUUGUUUCAAGUACCUAGUGGAAGACAUACAUUGUUGAGUUCAUAUCUCCAUUUUGCCAAUCACAUUCCAUUGGAACUGCGUCUAAUUCCUGUUUCAAUGGGAUAUGUAGGCGUCAUAACGGUUCGGUUAUGUUUUCCAUAUGCUUUUCAUUCUUUUACAAUGGAAACUGGGCAAAAAAAUUGAAAGAGACUCAAAAUAUUCCACAAAGAAGACAUUUUCUACAAGAUUGAAUACCAGAAUUUGUUGAAGCUGAAACAAAGGCAGAAUUUUCGAGGAAAGCAGGAUAUUGAUCAUGCAUCCCAUGUUCAUAUUGUUUUUGUCCUAUUAUUAUUGUUAAUGCAUACAUCUUACAUACUUAUUACAUUCCAUGUACUAACGCAUACUCCUGUCUAUAUUGUAUCAUAUUGUAGGGUUCGAUGAUCGCGCACCUCCCACUCGUGGCUAGAGUUUGAGUAUUACCUUCAUUAUUUGUGAGUCCUUAUGUUUCGAGGACGAGACAAUUUAUAUCUUUCCUUAUGCCCCUAUGACUUUUAUUUCCAUGUAUAUGGAUGAGCUAAGAGCUUGUCUUAUGCUCCUAUUUAGAUUA